UGCAGUAGCAUGAAGAGGUCUGAGGAAGCUGUGCGUCCCUCAAGAAAGCAAUUCUUUAUUGCCCAUCAAAGAUGAAUCCAUAGGGGAUCAUUAACAAGGAGAUCAUCCCAGAGAGCAGCUUCUAGAAUCACCAACCAAGCAGAAGAUUUGUCAGAAGAACAAAGACCUCAAAAUGAGAAGGAAUGUGUUCUGGACUUAAAACAUUGCUCAGGUAUCUUAGCAAGGACUGAGACCUUGGAGGUCUCCAAAUACCAGUAAGAAUCAUUGCUCAUGAAAUAAAGAAAUAAAGAAAACAAACAAGUAAAUAAAAACAAGAUCUUUAUGGAUGUGGCAGAAAGCUUUGCAAGCCAAGAAAGUCUUCUAUCCAGGUGAUGCAAAUAACUGUAAAACUUCAGACUUCUUGAACUACAAAGAUGAACUCUGCCAACCCAAGUUCUAGUACUUCCUCUACUCCCAGCCUGACCCCCACUGUUUCUUGGUUUCCUCACUCCUUCUCUUUCUGUUUGACUCUUGAGAGUAAUAAACUCAGCCAAGUCCUACUACUUGAGCCCAUAUUUAAAUGCAGAACAAU
rnacentral:lncRNA from 10 species